rnacentral:rRNA from 1 species
GUGGGGAAUCUUCCGCAAUGGACGAAAGUCUGACGGAGCAACGCCGCGUGAGUGAUGACGGCCUUCGGGUUGUAAAGCUCUGUUAAUCGGGACGAAUGGUUCUUGUGCAAAUAGUGCGAGGAUUUGACGGUACCGGAAUAGAAAGCCACGGCUAACUACGUGCCAGCAGCCGCGGUAAUACGUAGGUGGCAAGCGUUGUCCGGAAUUAUUGGGCGUAAAGCGCGCGCAGGCGGAUUGGUCAGUCUGUCUUAAAAGUUCGGGGCUUAACCCCGUGAUGGGAUGGAAACUGCCAAUCUAGAGUAUCGGAGAGGAAAGUGGAAUUCCUAGUGUAGCGGUGAAAUGCGUAGAUAUUAGGAAGAACACCAGUGGCGAAGGCGACUUUCUGGACGAAAACUGACGCUGAGGCGCGAAAGCCAGGGGAGCGAACGGGAUUAGAAACCCCUGUAGUCC